UACCAGCACCCCGAGUGGUCGGGACGUUUAUUGGGCCUAAAGCAUCCGUAGCCGGUUCUACAAGUCUUCCGUUAAAUCCACCUGCUUAACAGAUGGGCUGCGGAAGAUACUAUAGAGCUAGGAGGCGGGAGAGGCAAGCGGUACUCGAUGGGUAGGGGUAAAAUCCGUUGAUCCAUUGAAGACCACCAGUGGCGAAGGCGGCUUGCCAUAACGCGCUCGACGGUGAGGGAUGAAAGCUGGGGGAGCAAACCGG
rnacentral:rRNA from 1 species